rnacentral:rRNA from 1 species
AUUGAACGCUGGCGGCAGGCUUAACACAUGCAAGUCGAGCGGGGGAAGGUAGCUUGCUACCGGACCUAGCGGCGGACGGGUGAGUAAUGCUUAGGAAUCUGCCUAUUAGUGGGGGACAACAUCUCGAAAGGGAUGCUAAUACCGCAUACGUCCUACGGGAGAAAGCAGGGGAUCUUAGGACCUGGCGCUAAUAGAUGAGCCUAAGUCGGAUUAGCUAGUUGGUGGGGUAAAGGCCUACCAAGGCGACGAUCUGUAGCGGGUCUGAGAGGAUGAUCCGCCACACUGGGACUGAGACACGGCCCAGACUCCUACGGGAGGCAGCAGUGGGGAAUAUUGGACAAUGGGGGGAACCCUGAUCCAGCCAUGCCGCGUGUGUGAAGAAGGCCUUAUGGUUGUAAAGCACUUUAAGCGAGGAGGAGGCUACUUUAGUUAAUACCUAGAGAUAGUGGACGUUACUCGCAGAAUAAGCACCGGCUAAUUCUGUGCCAGCAGCCGCGGUAA